UGACACAGGGAGGUAGUGACAAGAAAUAACAAUACAGGGCUAUUUUAGUCUUGUAAUCGGAAUGAGUACAAUUUACAUCUCUUCACGAGGAUCAAUUGGAGGGCAAGUCUGGUGCCAGCAGCCGCGGUAAUUCCAGCUCCAAUAGCGUAUAUUAAAGUUGUUGCAGUUAAAACGCUCGUAGUCGGAUUUCGGGGCGGGCCGACCGGUCUGCCGAUGGGUAUGCACUGGCCGGCGCGUCCUUCCACCCGGAGACCGCGCCUACUCUUAACUGAGCGGGCGCGGGAGACGGGUCUUUUACUUUGAAAAAAUCAGAGUGUUUCAAGCAGGCAGUCGCGCUUGCAUGGAUUAGCAUGGGAUAAUGAAAUAGGACUCUGGUGCUAUUUUGUUGGUUUCGAACACCGGAGUAAUGAUUAACAGGGACAGUCAGGGGCACUCGUAUUCCGCCGAGAGAGGUGAAAUUCUCAGACCAGCGGAAGACGAACCACUGCGAAAGCAUUUGCCAGGGAUGUUUUCACUGAUCAAGAACGAAAGUUAGGGGAUCGAAGACGAUCAGAUACCGUCGUAGUCUUAACCAUAAACCAUGCCGACUAGGGAUUGGAGGAUGUUCCAUUUGUGACUCCUUCAGCACCUUUCGGGAAACUAAAGUCUUUGGGUUCCGGGGGGAGUAUGGUCGCAAGGCUGAAACUUAAAGGAAUUGACGGAAGGGCACCACCAGGAGUGGAGCCUG
rnacentral:rRNA from 1 species